AUUGAACGCUGGCGGCAGGCCUAACACAUGCAAGUCGAGCGGAUGAAGGGAGCUUGCUCCUGGAUUCAGCGGCGGACGGGUGAGUAAUGCCUAGGAAUCUGCCUGGUAGUGGGGGAUAACGUCCGGAAACGGGCGCUAAUACCGCAUACGUCCUGAGGGAGAAAGUGGGGGAUCUUCGGACCUCACGCUAUCAGAUGAGCCUAGGUUGGAUUAGCUAGUUGGUGGGGUAAAGGCCUACCAAGGCGACGAUCCGUAACUGGUCUGAGAGGAUGUUCAGUCACACUGGAACUGAGACACGGUCCAGACUCCUACGGGAGGCAGCAGUGGGGAAUAUUGGACAAUGGGCGAAAGCCUGAUCCAGCCAUGCCGCGUGUGUGAAGAAGGUCUUCGGAUUGUUAAGCACUUUAAGUUGGGAGGAAGGGCAGUAAGUUAAUACCUUGCUGUUUUGACGUUACCAACAGAAUAAGCACCGGCUAACUUCGUG
rnacentral:rRNA from 1 species